GCGGACGUGGCGAAAUUGGUAGACGCACUGGAUUUAGGUUCCAGCGGGUGACCGUGGGAGUUCGAGUCUCCCCGUCCGCA
rnacentral:tRNA from 2 species